AGUGAACGCUGGCGGUAGGCCUAACACAUGCAAGUCGAACGGCAGCACAGUAAGAGCUUGCUCUUACGGGUGGCGAGUGGCGGACGGGUGAGGAAUACAUCGGAAUCUACUUUUUCGUGGGGGAUAACGUAGGGAAACUUACGCUAAUACAGCAUACGACCUACGGGUGAAAGCAGGGGAUCUUCGGACCUUGCGCGAAUGAAUGAGCCGAUGUCGUAUUAGCUAGUUGGCGGGGUAAAGGCCAACCCAGGCGACGAUCCGUAGCUGGUCUGAGAGGAGGGUCGGCCACAUUGGAAGUGAGACACGGUCCAGAGUCCUACGGGAGGCAGCAGUGGGGAAUAGUGGACAAUGGGCGGAAGUCUGAUCCAGUGAGCCCGCGUGGGUGAAGAAGGCGUUCGGGUUGUAAAGCCGUUUUGUUGGGAAAGAACAGCAGCAGGUUAAUACGCCGCUGUUCUGACGGUACCCAAUGAAUAAGCACCGGCUAACUACGUG
rnacentral:rRNA from 1 species